rnacentral:lncRNA from 1 species
CACAGGGAUCCAGGGGUAUUUCUCAGUAAUAAGCAGUUUUUGCCUUAUUUAUUUAUUUUUUUACAAAAUAAUUUGAAAAAGUGGAAAUCACUGCUGUGGCAGACCAGCACCAUGCUGGGGGUUCCCGCAGCCCUGGCGGGAUCUCCUCCCACACACAAUGAUGAGGAACUUGGAGGCCCUGCGCUGGCCCAGGAGCACUGGCAUGAUGGUGAAAGGGGCAGUUCCUGGAGGCGCUGGAAAUCAGUUUCCUUCUGGCAGCUGGUAACAGUGACGUGGGGUCCUCCUGUGCAGGUCUAUGCUGAGAGCUCACCCCCGGCUCCCGGUGGGGACUCACCAGGGGCUGUUGCAGCUGCUUCUGCUUUUCUUCUGUGAAAAACCGAGCUAAACCAGGGUUCUGAGGACACGUGGGCUCCGAGGGGGGUGAGUCCCAGCCAUCUCCUCCCAAGCCACAUCCUGACUGUCUUCACCGCCGGUCCCCUCAGCCGUUGUACAGCGUGUUUCCUGGGAAGGGUAGCUCGUGUCCAGCUCAGCUGUCCAGGUCUCCCGGGGCUGCUGAAGCAACUGACCAUGAACCAGACAGCUUCAAGCAAUGGACAUAUGUUUGGCGGCCAGAGUGGUCAGGUCAUCGGUCCCGAGGAGGCUCGAGGGGGUUCCUUCCUGCUCUGCAGGCUCCUGGUGCUGCCGGCCUCCCUGGCAGAGGCCGCAUCUGCUCCCCGCCCCCAGCUCUGCCUUCUCCGCAGUCUCGGGGCCCCCUUCCUGCUGUGUCUCUGCUCUUCUUUUAAUGACACUGGUCACUGGAUUUGAAGUCCACCCGGGUAAUCCAGAUUGAACCUGGGUCACGGCAGUGAAAGUCUGGGAUCCUGACCACUAGGCAACCAGCGCAUUCCAGAAUUACCUUCACUCCAGCUGAAAAGACCAUUUUUCCAAAUAAGGUUGCGUUUGCAGGUUCCUGGGUUUAGAACUGAGGCAGCUCUUUGGGGGCCCCUGUUCCACCCAGGUCAGGAAUGACCACCUGAGUCACAUGCCCUCCCUCGCCUGUUGGGACUCUCCUCUUGGUCCUGGAAGGAAGCCUCUGAGGUCAGCAGGACAGACACCAGCCCAUUUUAAAGAAGAGGAAACUGAGGCCUAGAAAUGUACAGCCAGGGGGUAGGAGGCCUGGGGCAGGGGAAGCCCCAGCACAACCACUGGCUGGGUUAACCCGAGUUGAUGUUCCUACCCAUGAAGUGAAGGGCAGGUCCCUCAGGCCCCUUUGUGAGUAAAUUCUGUGAUGCCUUGACUUCAUGGUAAAUGACAGUGAGUGG